rnacentral:lncRNA from 1 species
AAUUACCAACCAACAAAACUUUGAAAAUCAUUUUGAACCACAAAUAUAAAACCCACACAUAAAUGCUAUCGUUAUGGCAUUUUAGUCAAUACCAUAGUAAUAUUGGUGAUCUUAGUUCUAUCUUUGGGCACAUUAUCAGUUACAUAUUUUUGAGACAAUUCACUCUUAUGAAAAAUUUAAUCAAAUGAAAUAUUUAUAAGUAGAGUUACAUAGUAAUAUAAAAACAUGUUUUGUGCAAUUCAUUCUUAUGAAAAAUUUUAAUUAAAUGAAAUAUUUAUAAGUGGAGUUUUUUUUUAUUAAAUAAGUGGAGUUUUCUUAGAGGUGCUACAUCAUCACAAUAUUUGCUUGUGAGCAACUCAACUUUCCUUUUACUAGUAAAAGAUAUAUAUAUGUUAUAUUAAUUGUGGUAAACAUUUUUUUUGGUUACUAUUUAUGGUAAACAUAUACAAACACAAAAUAGUUUCGGGUUAUUUUUUAGCUAUAUAAUGAGCCCUAAAAUAAUUAAUGAUAUUGCACAAAUAGACACAGACUUGAAGUAAGACCAUAUACAAUGGUUACCAACAUUCAACACCACUUUUUCACUUCCCAACACUCCAUGUCAUUUUUUUUUUCUUCCACCUAAUCAUUCAACACACAUUAAACUUUUAUCCUCUCCAAUAGUUUUUUCAUUCAACACUCUACUCCACCACUUUCUCUACCCCACCACUUUUUAUUUCAUAUUCUUAUUUAAAUUUAUGUUUUUGUUUUUAUGAUUACAUAAAAUUACAAUUAUCGAUUAAAAUUAAAUUAAAAUAAUAAGCACUUAACAAUUGAAACACUCCAAAUGCACGUUCGAUGUCCUUCCGAUAUCCCUCCUAAUAUUUUGCAAAUAACUUAUCGGGUUCACUUUGAGGAAGUCUAAUCGAUUUGACGAAAGUUGGAUAAGAAGGGUAGAUAUAAUCAGCUAGAUAGUAUGUCAUAUUAUAGGAACGUUGAUUCACAAAGAAAUUAACGGUGGGAGCAUUUCCCUGUUCCACAUCAUCAAACACUGAUGACUGGUCUAGAAAGUUUAUAUCGUUCAACUGCUUCAAAAGAGGCAUCCAAAAAAGGCAUGUCAGAUCCAUAAAUCAUGAGAUACAACUGCUUCAAGAAUAACUGUGAUGGUUCCCUAAAAAAAAGACUAAUACUUCAAGAUUAACACUAAUAGGAAGAUAAUAAUAAUAAGAUUAUUAUAGUGAAAAAAUCCAUUUUUUUUCUAUGUCCAAAUCAAAUGAACCAAGUCUCUAUUUCAGUGACUACACACCUCCGGUUUUAUAUUUCCAGCCAUCCGCAACAAGUUGUGUUGACUAAACUGGAAUGGACAGUUGUUCAUAUUUCUCAAUUUUGUUUGUAAAGGCCGUGUGGUUGUUCUAAGGCUUUGCUGCUGAAUGGGUGCUACUCAUUUGUUUAAUAGGGAGGAUGUUCUUUGUUGCUGCUCCUCCAUUGUAUCAGGUGGAAUUGGUUGUGUUUAUUUGCACCCCUUAUGCAUUUUUCAAUUUUAAUAAAACUUUUGCUUUUUUAAAAAAUAAAUAAAUUUAGCAAUUGUUAUAAUCUCCACAAAAAUGAUUAUAUUAUUUUAUUUUUAAGAAAAAAUAAAAUCAUAGAGCAAAGACAUCACAUGGUUAAUAUAUUGACACCCCACAACCAUCACAAUCAAUUUAAAUACCUAAUACUUAAUAUUUUAUAAAUAUAAGAAUAAAUACACUUUGGGGGACUAUGCCAAAACCCAAUUAUACAAUUCAAAAGAUCAACAACAUUUAACUCUUUAAAAAUCUUAUUAGUAAAAUACCAAAGAGAUAAAACACAAUGAAGAAAAAAAAAGUGCAUAAUAAAAUAACAAAAGUAAAAAGAAAGCCAAUCUUAAAGUCCACUAAAACAACCAUUAAUAUCGAAAGAGAUAUCAACAGAAGAGUAUUGAUAUUUAAAAUUGGCUAUACCAUCAAGACAUUUUUUUUAUAAGCAUAGAAUGAAUCAUGAGUACAAGGGGUACCUAACCCUUACAAUUCUAAAAGAAGCCAUUAGAUGCUAAAAAUGCAAGAUAAUGGAUCUUUACACUAAAUCUGAAAAUACAAGAGAAGACUUAGAAAUUAUUCUACCAACAAACCAAAACCAGGAGAUAUAAAUAAUUUGAUCCACUAAUGAUUGCAAGUUAAUGACAUCUCCUCUAAACAUUAUAUUAUUACGGGCUCGCCACAAGCUCCAUGUAGUUGCCAACCAAAUUACAUGUCGAGCUUUUGCAUAAGACUUAUUCUUCACCAAAGCACCAAAGGAGACUUAUUACCAUCAAGACAUUUAAUUUAGAGACCACUGAAUUACCAACCAACAAAACUUUGAAAAUCAUUUUGAACCACAAAUAUAAAACCCACACACAAAUGCUAUCGUUAUGGCCUUUUAGUCAAUAUCAUAGUAAUAUUGGUGAUCUUAGUUCUAUCUUUGGGCACAUUAUCAGUUACAUAUUUUUGAAAGCGGUUAAAAGCCUCUUUAGUGACACUUUCACCAAAAUGACCAACUAGCAAAGGUU